rnacentral:lncRNA from 1 species
AUGGGCUCCGAUGAUGGCAUGAAAUCUUUGAGACCUGACAUUCUUGUGAUGACAAACAUAAGCAUAUUUCCUGAGACCCAAUUGAGGUUUUAACCAUUGGUUUGCUGAAUGUGUCUUCACUGUUGAAAAAUUUGUACACACAUUUGCUUCAAAUUAUGCACAUUUGAUUAUUGUUUAUAGGCCUGCGAUGUCCAUUCCACAUUCAGUAUUUGUUAAGCUGAGUGCUUUUGUUUCAAAUUUGUUUUGUAUAGGUGAACGUUCCCAAGACCAAGAAGACCUACUGCAAGAACAAGGAGUGCAGGAAGCACACCCUUCACAAGGUCACUCAGUACAAGAAGGGUAAGGACAGCCUGUCUGCCCAGGGAAAGCGCCGUUAUGACCGAAAGCAGUCAGGAUAUGGUGGUCAGACCAAGCCUGUUUUCCACAAGAAGGUACUGUGACAGUUUAUAUAUGAUUAUGCAGUGUUGUGUGUGACUCUCUGUUCAUUAGAAACGUACGGUGUCAUGAUUGAUGUAGCAGUGAUAUGUGUCUGUACAAUGCAUGUGGCAAUAACCAUCACGUAGUUUUAAUUGCAUGUGGCUUUCAGCUGUGCAUUUUUCAUGUUAUGAUACAUGGUUCCUGUUUUCAGGCAAAAACCACCAAGAAGAUCGUGCUGAAGCUGCAAUGCCAAAGCUGCAAGCAUUACUCCCAGCACCCCAUCAAGGUAUUAUUUCAUUGUCAAGACUCCAGAGCUGAAAAUUAUCAUGAAUCAUUAUUUUGCUGGAUGUGUUGGAUGCUCACUUGCAUAAUUGUUCUCUGCAGAGGUGCAAGCAUUUCGAGAUUGGUGGAGACAAGAAGGGCAAGGGAACAUCUCUUUUCUAAAUUGCUUGCUACCUACUGGAUACUAUAGUUGUUGGUCUACUGUGCUUCAAUAUUUCAAUGUUAUUAGGAGCUUAUUUAAGCAGACCAUAUCAAUGUAUUCAAGUAUCAUCGUCUGACAUUUACUCUAGCAAGGAUUGGCUUUCUGCUGAAUCAAGUUUUGUUGCUUAAUGCUCGUUGAAUCCAAUGUGAUGCAUGUGUUUAUAUUUUGCUGCAAUUUUAUCUUACGACAGUUCUAUUUACCUUAGUCCUCAGUAUCCCUUUUCUUUUUUUGUUAUCUUACCUGCUGUCUUUUGAUUAGUAGUUAGCAAACAUAGAGCGACCCACUUUAAUUACUUCCCGUGACAUGAAUAUGACCUCGAGAGAUUAGUCUAGUGAACUUCCUUUUUCAGACUGAAUGUUGUAUUGUUAACUGUACUGGCGUUUGGUCAGUAUCUUUCGAAAGAGAUGGAAUGUAGGGACGUAAUUUUAUUGCAAGAUAAUUCAUUUGUUCUUGUGGUUCAGUAUCUUGGAAGGUCUUGUGAUAUUAGUGAAUUCUUUUCGUAGCAUUGCAGUACUUGCUCUGUCCUUAAUGCAUGAUUCGAUAGGCUACGCAAUCCCGUUUGUAGUAAUGAAUUAAAAAUUAUAUAUUAUUAUGAACCGAAUAAAUAGCUUCGAACAAGCUAAGCAAUGCUGAUGUAGAAAAAAAUUAGUUUGAGAACCGUGGUAUAUUCCAAAGUUUGUAACUGUCAUAAGCUGCCCCCCAACCCACCCAAAAAAACCGGAUGGCAGCAAUCACAACUUAGCAUUGCUGCUCAUGGCAAUGUUCAUAUACUAUGAGUGCGGGUUAGUUCAGACUACAGACACGUGUGGUAAUUGUUUUUUUUUUAGUUUUUUAUUUUGUUUGUUAGGUGGUGUUUGGAUCCAGGGAUUAAACUUUAGUCUUUGUUUUAGAUACUAAUUUAGAGUAUUAAAUAUUGACUACUUACAAAACUAAUUACAUAAAUGAGAGCUAAUUCGUGAGACAAAUUUUUUAGGGUUAAUUGGAUAGAUGCCAUUAUAAAAUCUUUAGUUUUGAAAUAUACCGUUACUAUUAAACUAUUUAGAAACAUGCCAUUACAACUUUUUCAGGUAUUGGAAAUAUGUCACUGUACAACCUUUGGAUGUGUUUAACAAAAAUUUUAGACCAAAUCGCUCUCGUCUUCUCCUUUGUCUCCACCCUCUCCUGUUCAUCUUCUUUCUUCCAUUUCUUUCCCUUUUGGAUCUGGUAUCUUAGUAUUCUUCCUCCACAUCUCCUUUCUCGGCCAGCAACGGCGGUGUUGUGCUGCACCAUCUAGUUUCCCUUCUUCCCUUCGCUGGCCGCAUCACCACCUUCUCAGUUUCCAGCCUCCCCGAGGUCUACUGCAACAACCAAGACGCGGAGCAUGUCGUUCUUGAAUGUCCAGCACCCGGACGCCCAAGGACGUGCCCCUGUCGGUGCAGCUGGAGUCAUUCGCCUACAGCGGCUUCACCAUGGCGUGGUCCACGUCCACCGAUUACGUGCUCGUCGACGAGCGCGCCUUGUGCACAGGGCCGGUCCUGAGUUUUCAAGCUCUAGGACAAAAACUUACGUGGAGGCCCCUAUAUAUAUACAUAAACUAAUAUAUAUAUUUAUAGUCUUAUAAACAUGUAAUAUUUAAUAUUUGAUAUGAUAAAAUUAUCUAUAUAUAAUAUUUUAAAACUUUCAAAGAGAAAUAAUAUAAUCAUAAACACUUACUUGGCACUUUCAAAAGUUUCUUCUAAAAUUUCAAUGAAAUCAUCCGAACAUUUUUUCCGUUUUCUUUUUUCGCUACCGGAUACAUAUUUUCUUGACAAUAUGAUUAAUGUUGUGCUAAAAAAUAAUCAUUAAUUAUUAAGUAGUACAAGCUAAUAAUUUUUGAUCUAUAAAGAGGAAAAAGAAAGAUAGAGAAAAUUACCUUAGACGACGACUGCGAGGCGCGAGCAGCCGAUCGGCCGAUGAGGGCGCGCCGCCGGGCGGUUGGCCUCCAAUCGACGUAGUCAGCCAGUCAUGCAGAGCCGCUGCGAUUUGCUGCCGAUUGCCGUGUUUGCGUUGCGGUUUGCCGCCGUUUACCGUUUGCAACGCGACGCGAGGCGUGAUCGAGGCGACGGGAACGGAGUCAGAUCGCUUCACUUUUCCUUCGCUCCUCUUCGUCUUCUGUCUUCGAUACCAUACAUGAUUCAGGACUGAGAGCGAUGCUGACCCUGGGGGCGUCGUGGGCCAUGGCCCAUCCGCCAUGGGGCCCCCUAAAUUUUGGGGGACUCGGGCGUGCGCACGGGCUGACCCCCCCUAGGGCCGGCCCUGCUUGUGCAUGAUCCUGACAAAGUGACUAUUACUGUGUACUCCUAAUCUCACAGCAGCAAGAAACGGGAGGAAGAAGAUGAACAACAGAACAGGAGAGAUGGGGGAGGCAAAGGAAGAAGACGGGGGCAAUUUGGUCCAAAAUUUUUGUUAGACAUAUCCAAGGGGUAUGUAAUGGUAUAUUUCCAAUACCUGAAAAAUUAUAAUGGCAUACCUCCAAAUAGUUGAGUAGUAAUGGUAUAUUUCAAAACUGAAGAAUUUACAAUGGCAUGUAUCCAAUUAACCCAAUUUUUUAAGCCUAAUUAAUUCAUAAUUAUAGAAUGUUUAUUGUAUCAUCACAUAGGCUAAUCAUGGAUUUAUUAGGCUCAAUAGAUUCGUCUCGCGAAUAAGUCCAAGAUUAUGGAUAGGUUUUGUUAAUAGUCUAUAUUUAAUACUUCUAAUUAGUGUCCAAACAUCCAAUUUGGAAGGGACUAAAAAAUUUUAGUCCAUUCCAAACACCUCCUUAUUAUUUUUAUCAAAUAGCCACGUAAGCGUCAUGUCAAUAGCACGUGGGACGAAGACCCCUAGUCAAAGGCGUCAUGUCAGCUAAAACCGGAGACAUUGCUACCGAGAGAGCUCGUUUGCACAGUUUGAAGAAGGCGUCAUGUCAGCCAAAACCAGAAAUAUUAUUACCGAGGGACCUCGUUUGCACACUUUGAAGGAUGGAUUGUAUAUGGUUUUCGGAUAAGGAUGAAAAACAGACUAAGCGACAAAGUAAGAGACCUAAAGUGAACUUAUUUGAGGGAUAAAGUCCACUUGGACUUCCUUAACUAUAAGGGAAUAAGUUCACCUGACGUCCCUUAACUUUAAGUCGAGUUCGUCUGAGGUUCCUAAUCCACAAUAAAAUCUCUACCUCUCAACUAAUCAUAAACCGUGCGAAAAAGAUCACAAAACAGACGGAGCGAUGAAGUAAGGGACCUAAAGUGAACUCAUUUUGAGGGAUAAAGUCACUUCAUAACUAUAAGGGAAUAUAAGUUCACCUGACGGCCCUCAACUUUAUGUUGAGUUUGUCUGAGGUCCCUAAUCCGCGAUAGCAAAAAUCUCUACCCCUCAACUAUCAUAAACCGUGCAAAAAAGAUCCCAAGACAAUAUUGAUCCAUUUUCUCCGGUUUUGCUGACGUGGCAUACGGUGGGACCCACAUGUCAGCGUCCUGUCUUCUCCUCUUUUCUUUUUUCUUUUUUUUCUUCUUGUCUUUUCUUUCUUCUCUCUUCUCCUCUUCCCUUCUUCUCCUAGCCUGAGAGGCCGGCGGGCGGGCGAGCAGGCGACGGCAGGCGGUGGCGGCGGUGUGCGGAGCAGGCAAGGGGUAACGGGUGGCGGGCGAGCGACGGCGCCUCAGAGAGGGUGUGGUGUGGGCGUCGCUGUGCUGUGGCGGGCGGAGCGGGGUGGCGGCGGUGGGGUGCAGAGGACGACGACAUAUGGAAGUGAUGGCGGACGCUGUAGGGGACGAUGGCGAGGAGGACGAAGUAGGCCGGGAGAGGAUGACUCCGACGCGCUUGGGGUUUCACCAGGAGACCUCGCCUUCACCGUCUUCGUGCCCUCACCAGAGUCGUUCCACCGCGUCCUCAGGCUGCGGCGUCCCAAUAACAACGUUGCCGAUGGGUGGGUCUCACAUUUUCCUUCUAUUUCACUUACAUGUGGGACUCACAUAUUAUUUUAUUCCUAUUUUGCUAACUAGGAUGCCACGUUAGUGAAACCAAGACAUCUAUACUGCCAUAGGACAUAAAUUGAACGGUUUUGUAUAUUUGGGGUGAAGAUUUCUGGUAUUGAGGAUAAGGGAUGGCAAACAAACUCGGUGUAAAGUUGAGGGACAUCAGAUGAACUUAUUCCAACUAUAAGGCAACGCAUCACGGUGCAUGGCCCAUGGGCUGCGCAUUCUGGCCCACAAAGCAGCACACGCACCAGUAAACCCUAGCCUCCAGGAGCUCACCCGUAUAAAGUCGCAGACCUUCUCCUUCCCCUCCCCGCCGCCACUCGCCGCAGCGUGUCGACCAGACAAGGCAGCGCCUCCGAAACCCUAGCUCCCCGCCUUCCCCUCCGCGGCCGCCAAAAUGGUACGCUUCUUCCUCCUCCCCGUCCGCCUCUCUCCGCCGCACGACGGCAAGAUCAUGCGCUCGUGUGUCCUCGUGCCAGUCCACGGCACCCUGCUCUGGUCGAUUUGUAGGGGGAUUGCGUUCUUUAUUCAUGUUGAUCUGCUGUAGAUGGGGGCGAUCUUGAGCCGGAGGAGUAGCUAGUUUCUUAUUGAUGCGGUUUCGGGGUUUUUAGAGAUUUAACACGGUUUCGCGGUUUCUCUUUAGCGAUUUCUUUUUUCAUGUUGAUAUAAUGAUAUCCACGGUGGUUGUUCUAGUUAUGUCAUUUUUAUCUUGAGUGCUUUGUGUGAUUGUUUUUCAAUUGUGGGUAGAGACCAGAUUAUUGUCGUUAAGAUGCAUGCUCUGAAACGCGGAAUUUUUUUGUAAUGGGUUAUAUCUAGAUUAUGUGUAUUGCUGUCAUUCAAUAGUCUUUUCUUAAUACAAGGCGCAACCGUCUUUUCUUCAAGUACCAGUAUACAAGGCGGCAACUGCUCAACUCCGUACUUGGUGCAUGCAAGCAUUGAAUGGAUGGUUGCAUGAGCUCAUGAUAUUCGGUUCAUUAGUUUAAAGGCAAAGGAUCCACCACUCGGAUGCUUGCAUGCACGCGCAAAAACUGCAGGACACGGGUGCAUGCUGCUUUGGCACUAGAUGCGAUGAACUGAUCAAAGCGUCACGCAUUGGAACGCGCUGGAAUAAAUCGGUACGAUGGGUAGUUAUAGGUUUUCUUGUUCUCCGAGUCCAAACAAGUUAUGCCUUGUAUUAAGGAAUGGAGGGAGUAGCAAUUAACUUCUGGAGUAAACAUUUUUCAUCAUCUUCCUUGAGGACGUGGGAUGAAUUCUUUUUUUUAUCUUGUGCGAAAAUUGUUUGGUAAUCAUGUCUGGUUUUGACUGAUGGGCUCCGAUGAUGGCAUGAAAUCUUUGAGACCUGACAUUCUUGUGAUGACAAACAUAAGCAUAUUUCCUGAGGACCCAAUUGAGGUUUUAACCAUUGGUCUGCUGAAUUUGUCUUUGCUGUCGAAAAAUAUCGAUUCACAUGUGCUUCUGAUUAUGCACAUUUGAUUGUGUUGUUUAUAGGCCUGCUAUGUGCUUUCCAAUAACCAGUAUUUGUUAAAUUUGUUUCAUAUUUCUUAUGUAUAGGUGAACGUUCCCAAGACCAAGAAGACCUACUGCAAGAACAAGGAGUGCAGGAAGCACACCCUUCACAAGGUCACUCAGUACAAGAAGGGUAAGGACAGCCUGUCUGCCCAGGGAAAGCGCCGUUAU